rnacentral:rRNA from 1 species
UACGAAGGUGCAAACGUUGCUCGGAAUCAUUGGGCGUAAAGCGCACGUAGGCGGCUCCGUAAGUCGGAUGUGAAAUCCCUCGGCUCAACCGAGGACGUGCAUACGAAACUGUGGAGCUCGAGUAUGGAAGAGGGUCGCAGAAUUCCCGGUGUAGAGGUGAAAUUCGUAGAUAUCGGGAGGAAUACCAGUGGCGAAGGCGGCGACCUGGGCCAAUACUGACGCUGAGGUGCGAAAGCGUGGGGAGCAAACAGG